rnacentral:rRNA from 1 species
ACGGAGGGUGCGAGCGUUGUCCGGAAUCACUGGGCGUAAAGGGCGCGUAGGUGGCGCGGUAAGCGGGUGGUGAAAGUCCGGGGCUCAACCCCGGAUCGGCCAUGCGAACUGCCGCGCUUGAGCACUGUAGAGGCAGGUGGAAUUCCGGGUGUAGCGGUGGAAUGCGUAGAGAUCCGGAAGAACACCGGUGGCGAAGGCGGCCUGCUGGGCAGUUGCUGACACUGAGGCGCGACAGCGUGGGGAGCAAACAGGAUUAGAUACCCUGGUAGUCCACGCCGUAAACGAUGGGCACUAGGUGCUUGGGGGAGCGACCCCUUGAGUGCCGGCGCUAACGCAUUAAGUGCCCCGCCUGGGGAGUACGGCCGCAAGGCUG